UGACUGAUGCUGUGUUUGCCAGAGCCAGCACUCUCCUCAAGGGUAAUGAAAGCAACUUCCUUGAGUAUUUUUACGUCAGAGAAGAUAGAUUCUUGAAAAGCAAAGGAGUGAACCGUUAUCUGUGAUAGGCUGGAAUAUAGAGUAAUCAGAUCACCUUGAUCUAAUUGAAAGGCAGAGGAAGCUCAUGGGGACAAGCAGCCUAGUCCUGCUCUCACUCAUCUGUUUGCACAUUUGUAUUCCUGAUGGAAAAUCAACGGCUGUAGAAGGAGCGGUCAGGAGGAUAUGAAUGAAUUACGUAGCACUGGCUGGUUUCGCUGCAAAGGCCUUUGAGAAAGUUCUGCAUAUUGUUGAAUGAGGUUUUCUGUGAUAAUACUUCAGUGUGAUUGGCUACUUACUCUGCCUGUUAAAUCACCACUAUCUGAUAAUCCCUUCGAUUGAAGUCAGUGGAAUCUUCCUACUCUAUAAGGUUUUGUUGGAUUUAGACACGCACUGUUUCACUAUUUGAGGAGUCAUGAAAAGUGCUGAACAUUGUGCAAUCAUCAAUGAAUAUCCCACUGCUGAGCUUAUGAAGAAGACAUGACUCUUUUUUUUAACUCUUCAAGAAACUUCAUGGGCUCCAGUCUGCUCUUGGAAUCCAGAAUCACAUGAAAAGAUAUCUUCAGUCUCUUUGAUCCACGUAAGAGUCCUGAAGAUGGAAGAUGUAACUGCUUUUAAGUUCAGCUCAGUGAGUGCCUUUUAAAAGCUGGCAUUUAUUUGUUGGAUAGUGUUUUCUUACAGUAUAAUGAACUUUCACGUAUUUCAUGGAAAUGUUUAGUUAAAAUUAAUAAACCCCAAGUUU